UGGUCAGGACGUGACAGUACCCCCCCCCAAAGGUGCAGACUCCGAAUGCAACUAAACCCCCCCAAAAUAAAACAAAAGGGAGGGUAACCAGUGUCUAUGCCAGCUCUGGUGCAGUAUCCAGAACCUUAUCAUCCAGCGAAUCCUUUAGUAGAGAAGGCGGCUCUGGUUCGGGGCAUAACCCCCGCUCCGCCCGCUGAUCCCUCUGCUUCUGUGCCACCGGACCGUGGAUCAUCGCCGGAGGCUCCGGGCUGCAGGCCGUCUCAGGAGGCUCCGGGCUGCAGGCCGUCUCAGGAGGCUCCGGGGCAGGCCCCGUCUCAGGAGGCUCCGGGCUGCAGGCCGUCUCAGGAGGCUCCGGGCUGCAGGCCGUCUCAGGAGGCUCCGGGCUGCAGGCCGUCUCAGGAGGUUCCGGGCUGCAGGCCGUCUCAGGAGGUUCCGGGCUGCAGGCCGUCUCAGGAGGUUCCGGGCUGCAGGCCGUCUCAGGAGGUUCCGGACUGCAGGCCGUCUCAGGAGGUUCCGGACUGCAGGCCGUCUCAGGAGGCUCCGGACUGGGAACUGUCGCCGGAAGCUCCGGACUGGGAACUGUCGCCGGAAGCUCCGGACUGGGAACUGUCGCCGGAAGCUCCGGACUGGGAACUGUCGCAGGAAGCUCCGGACUAGGAACUGUCGCCGGAAGCUCCGGACUAGGAACUGUCGCUGGAAGCUCCGGACUGGGAAUGCGCACUGGAGGCCUGAUGCGUGGGGCUGGCAUAGGUGGCGCCAGACUAGUAACACGCACCUCAGGGCAAGUGCGGGGAGCAGGAACAGGGAGUACCAGGCUGGAUAGACUCACUGGAGGCCGGGUAUGUGGGGCAGGCACAGGAUAUACUGGACCGUGGAGACACACUGGAGGUCUUGAGCGUAGAGCUGGCACCACCCGUCCUGGCUGGAUGCUUACUUUCGCCCGGAAAACGCUGGGCGCGGGCACAGGACGAACUGGGCUGUGAAUACGCACUUGCGACACAGUGCGCAGCGCCGGCGCAGGAUAUCCUGGACCGAGAAGGCAAACUGGAGACCAGGAUCUCUGAGCUGGCACCACCCUUCCUGGCUGAAUGCUCAACCUAGCUUGGCAAAUGCGGGGCGCGGGCACAGAUCGCACCGGGCUGUGAAUGCGCAUUGGCAACACAGUGCGCAUCACCGCAUAACACGGUACUUGCUUCUUUACUCGCUCCCCAGGGUAAGCACGGGGAGUUGGCUCAGGUCUCCACCCUGACUCUGUGAAACUCCCCGUGUGCCCCCCCCCCCCAAUUUAUUUGGGAGGGGUGCCUCUCGUGCUUCCGUCGUUGCCUUGCUAGUUCCUCGUAAUGUUGCCGUUCCUCCCUCGCUGUCUCCACCUACUUCCAUGGCAGGGUCUUGACCCCUGCCAUUACCUCCUCCCAAUUCCAGGAUGUCCUCCAUUCCUUCCUCUCCCGGACCCAGGAUCCCUGCUCCUCCUGGGCACGCUGCUUGGUCCUUUUGUGGUGGGAGAUUCUGUCACGGUUGUCGAAAGGAGAAGACCAAAGUGCAGCGUGUGUGUCGUUCCACAUUGUAUUUACUCUGUGAAACUAUGCAAUACACAAAUAAACUGAAAUGACAAAACAA
rnacentral:lncRNA from 1 species